GAUGACAGCUGCUCUCCAGACAUCAGAGCUACAAUGAGGAAGAACCACCACAUUGUCUGCAUUGUACUGGUUCUCUGCUCAGGACAAGUUGUUGGAGACUCCAUUAAGUCAAUGAAUGCUCAGACAUUUACUGAAGAAGGCCAGGAAGUCACUCUCUCCUGCUCCUAUACAACCACAUAUCCCUCUGUAUAUCUGUACUGGUACCGUCAUUAUUCUGGAUCAGCUCCACAAUUUAUAUUAUAUAAAGCCAAUAAAGGCUCUGCUAGUAAUGCUGCUCCAUUUGCUGGGGAGAGAUUUAUAUCUGAGGUGACAUUAAACUCUACAGAGCUGGUUAUCAGUGAUGUGAAGACGGAGGACUCAGCCACCUACCUCUGCGCUCUGCAGGCAGCACAGUGUCACACAUCUAACCUCUCAUCCUACAGAAACCUCAUUCUCUAUAGAUAA